rnacentral:rRNA from 1 species
CCUACGGGAGGCAGCAGUGAGGAAUAUUGGUCAAUGGGCGCAAGCCUGAACCAGCCAUGUAGCGUGAAGGAUGACAGUUUUUUUGAUUGUAAACUUCUUUUCUGUGCGAUUAAAGUGUGGCAUUUAUGCCAUAUUGCAGUUAUCUCAGGAAUAAGCAUCGGCUAACUCCGUGCCAGCAGCCGCGGUAAUACGGAGGAUGCGAGCGUUAUCCGGAUUUAUUGGGUUUAAAGGGAGCGUAGAUGGUUUUUUAAGUCAGCUGUCAAAUGUAUGGGCUCAACCCUUAUUAUCAGUUGAAACUGUAAGACUUGAGUGCGGUGUGGGUACAUGGAAUUCGUGGUGUAGCGGUGAAAUGCAUAGAUAUCACGAAGAACUCCGAAAGCGUAGGCAUUGUACCAUAGCGCCACUGACAUUGAUGCUCGAAGGUGCGGGAAUCAAACAGGAUUAGAUACCCGGGUAGUC